GGGCGGUUAGCUCAGCGGUAGAGCACCGGAUUGCAAAUCCGAUGGUCACGUGUUCGAUCCACGUACCACCCU
rnacentral:tRNA from 1 species